UGACGGUACCCUACUAGAAAGGAGCCGCUAACUUCGUGCCAGAAGCGUCGGUAAUACGGGGGCUCCAAGCGUUAUCCGGUGUUAUUGGGCGUAAAGAGUCGUGUAGGUGGUUGGGUAAGUUAUCUUUCAAAUAUCUCUGCUUAACAAAGAGGAGGGGGAUAAUACUGCUCGACUAGAAUUUUCUCAAGGGAGAUCGGAACUGAGGGAGGAGUAGUGAAAUGCGUUGAUACCCUCGGGAACACCAGUGGCGUAGGCGGAUCUCUGGGAGAAGAUUGACACUGAGACACGAAAGCUAGGGGAGCGAAGCAGAUUAGAGACCUGCGUAGUCCUAGCCGUAAACGCAUGCUUGCUAGCUGCAUGAAUCUACCUUCGGGUGGUAUCGUGUGGCGAAGGUAACCCGUUAAGCAAGCCGCCUGGAAAGUACGGCCGCAAGGCUGAAAUUCAAAGGAAUUGGCGGGGAGGCACACAACCAGUGGAACAUGUGGUUUAAUUCGAGACUAACCGAAGAACCUCACCAGGGUUUGACAUGUAGCUGCACGUCUUAAGAAAUUAAGACUCUCUUGAAGGUGCUACACAGGUGCUGCAUGGCUGUCGUCAGCUCGUUCCGUGAGGAGUGCCCUUAAGUGGGACAACGAGCGCAACCCCUAUUACAUGUUAGAAAUGUCAUGUAAGACUGCCUUGCCAUUUGGCGGGGAGGAAGGAGGGGCAGACGUCAAGUCCGCAUGGUCCUUAUGCCCUGGGCUACACACAUGUUACAAUGAGUACGGCAAUGAGUCUGUCGCGAGCACGUAAGUGUAAGCUAAUCUCUUAAAUGUACUCUCAGUGGGGAUUGAGGUCUGCAACUCGACCUCAUGAACACGGAAUUGGUAGUAAUCGCGGGUCAGCUAUACCGCGGUGAAUACGUUCUUGCCUCUUGCACACACCGCCCGUCAAACCAGCGAAGUCGAUUGUAUCCGAACCU
rnacentral:rRNA from 1 species